UACGAAGGGGGCUAGCGUUGCUCGGAAUUACUGGGCGUAAAGGGCGCGUAGGCGGCACUGUUAGUCAGGCGUGAAAGUCCUGGGCUCAACCUGGAAACUGCGCUUGAUACGGCAGAGCUAGAGGAUGGAAGAGGCUCGCGGAAUUCCCAGUGUAGAGGUGAAAUUCGUAGAUAUUGGGAAGAACACCGGUGGCGAAGGCGGCGAGCUGGUCCAUUACUGACGCUGAGGCGCGACAGCGUGGGGAGCAAACAGG
rnacentral:rRNA from 1 species